rnacentral:rRNA from 1 species
GAUGAACGCUGGCGGCGUGCCUAACACAUGCAAGCCGAGCGAUUUACUUCGGUAAAGAGCGGCGGACGGGUGAGUAACGCGUGGGUAACCUGCCCUGUACACACGGAUAACAUACCGAAAGGUAUGCUAAUACGAGAUAAUAUGCUUUUAUCGCAUGGUAGAAGUAUCAAAGCUUUUGCGGUACAGGAUGGACCCACGUCUGAUUAGCUAGUUGGUAAGGUAACGGCUUACCAAGGCGACGAUCAGUAGCCGACCUGAGAGGGUGAUCGGCCACAUUGGAACUGGGACACGGUCCAAACUCCUACGGGAGGCAGCAGUGGGGAAUAUUGCACAAUGGGCGAAAGCCUGAUGCAGCAACGCCGCGUGAGCGAUGAAGGCCUUCGGGUCGUAAAGCUCUGUCCUCAAGGAAGAUAAUGACGGUACUUGAGGAGGAAGCCCCGGCUAACUACGUGCCAGCCGCCGCCGUAA